AUUGUUAAAAGGUUAGAAGAAAAAACCUGAGAAAAAAUGUGUUAAAGUGCAUGUGUCUGAAAAAAAAAAAUUAUCUCAGUGAAGUGGUUGGCAAAGCCUGUUGCAUACAUCUUACUUUGCACCUUUGCCGUCCACCCAACACAUGCAAUAGAUGGUUGUCCAAUUCAGGAGUUUGUCGUCCCAUAUCAAGUGCCGUUUUCCAGAUUAGGAUUCGGCACUCAGUCUUAAAUUAUAUUAACCCAGUUAUAAUUUAUAUAAAACCCAGUAU